UAGGUCGCCAGUACGCAUGCGCCAGUUUUAGCACAGUAGUGCGCAUGCGCCAGUUUUAUAUCGCCAGUACGCACGCGCCAGUUUUAGGACGCCUGUACGCAUGCGCCAGUUUUAGAUCGCCAUUCCGCAUGCGUAUUGCAGUUUUAAACUUGCAUAUGCGCACGGGCGUCCUAAAACUGGCGCAUGCGUACUGGGGGUUCAAACUGGCGCAUGCGCAUUGUUCUUCCGACACUGGCGUAUUCGUCCUGUUAAGUUAAUGGUGCUUUCGUUCCGGUUCUGGCACGUUCACAUGGAUGUUCCCAAACUGCCGCUUGUGUACGACGGUUCCGAAGCUGGUCUGGAAAUUAGCGCAUGCGUGUUCCCGAUCCGAAAAUAGUUCAAGAACUCGCGCUUGCGUACUGUGGGUCAGGCACUCGCCCAUGCGCCUUGAUGUUCUGGAUAUUGCGCAUGCGCAUUUCUUUUCGGAGUUCGCCCAUGCGUACUGUCGUUCUGGAUCUGGCGCAUGCGCCGUGUCACCGGCUGUUCCGGAUGGCUGCAGUUCUGCAGUUUGGCCGCGUGGUGGCAGCACACAACGCGCAAUGGAUUCGUUCGUCCGGUCUGUGCUGCUGACGGCGGCCGAGCAUGUAAAGGUGUCGGGGAUGAUGAACAUUGAUGGUAUCAAUUGCACAGCCGCAUGCAGUGAAGCCUGGGAUGGUUUGGAACGCUUACGAGAGCAAAGCAAAGCAAAGCAUUGCACUGAGCAACUUUUGGAACAAACCGAGUGGUACCAAGUUCCACAGCUGGACUCUCCGCUCUGAGGUUCCAUCCCGUUCACUCGGGGUUUGUAAAUGUCCGCUGGGUCAGUUUUGUUACCGAGCGACUUGUCUUCGGUUCUUUCAUUUGCAACUGUUGCAGCAUCUGCCGCAGGGAAUGUUGCCAGCAUUUGACCCUGGGCACCAAGGCUGAACCACUUUAAUAACAGUGGGACUCCCAUCACAGUGUCAAGGAUUUGUUCUGCUUUGGACCCAAAGGAAGAAUCAAUACAAAGCAUGAGAUGUAUGAAAGUCAUCAUCAGGCAAUGCUUCUUAGCACCACCUUUGGGAAACAGAUAAGGGAUUUGUAAUAAAAAUCUUGCUACAGCAGUAAUAUACAAUGCUACGUAAGAAUAAUAUGAGAACACUCCUCAAGGAUGCAAGGAACUUUCUGAUCUGAUCCUGCACUAUUUGCCUGCAGCUGUUCCAGAUCCAGCUGUAUGUUCUUUUUGGGAGUACAACUUAAAAAAACAAUGGAAAAAAAUGGUAGUUUAAUAUAGGCAGAAAAAAAAAGAGCAGGAUGUUUCUAUCAGUAUUUAAAAUGAGUUAGCAGUCAACAACAGAAGCCAAUUCUAGAAUAGCACCAUGAGAAACAGCAGCAGAGAAUGAAACAUCGACAUUAUCCUCAACUACUGCUCCUGCAAAAAUAAAUAAAUAAAAAUCUUUUGGCCAUGACCUGUCUGAAGGCAUUUACACAUAUACACAUAUACACAUAUUCACAUAUUCACAUACACACAUAUUCACAUACACACAUAUUCACAUUCACACACCUUCCUCGUAUUUUAACUGCAUGAAAAAA